rnacentral:lncRNA from 1 species
AACUUUGUAAGUUGAUGUCUGUUUUGUUAGGACAAGUAAUGGUCGACUGACAGAAUUGGCAAAACUUGACAAAAGUUCAAAGAAAAAUUGAGAAUGAUUUUAAGGUGCUUGUCAUUUCAUAUUGUUUGUAUUCAUGAAAACUUGCGAUGAUUUUAAAAUAUACAAUACUAAUAGACUGAUGGUGGAACAGCCAUUUUGAUCUAAACACUGUAUGAAAUGUUAAUGAAUUAAGAUAUAAAGAUUUGUAUUGUUAACUUCUGUUAAGACAUUUUAAGAAAUUUAACUUGCAGUCAAUGCAGACAAGACAUUUUAAGAAAUUUAACUUGCAGUCAAUGCAGACAUGUGUCUCAUACUAAUUAUAGACAUACACAGAUCUAUUUAUUUUCUCCUAGCUCUUAGAGAAAGUUUGCAGACUGAAAAUUGUCUUCCUUAUAUUUCUUUUGUUUGGUCUGCCAUUUUAUUAAAUGCUGUUGAUUUGUGUAAUUUAGUGGGUACCAAUUUAAGGCAAUUUUUGUAGAUGUAGGAAAUAUGGUAUUUUCUUGGAUAUUUUAAUUGAUGAUUUUGCAAAACUCUGCAUUCAAGACAAAACAAAUUUAUUUGUACUUGCUUAAACAUUUUAAUUGAUUGAUUGUUGGUUGCUUAACGUCCAGUGGCAACUAAACAUUUUAAUGUGUGGUUCAACUUUACACUUGAAAAUCCAUGAAAAUUGGUAUCCAACAAAUAAAAAUAAAUCUGCAGGCAGGCAGUUCUGAUUAAAGAAUUUUACCUUCUGAUAAUACAUUUAAAGAAUUUAACUUGGCCAAGACAUGUGUACACAUAGUAUAAACUAUAGACAUACAUAGAUCUCUAAUUUCUAUUAGCUCUAGAACAAAAAUUAACAA